AGCUCCAAUAGCGUAUAUUAAAGUUGUUGCAGUUAAAAAGCUCGUAGUCGAAUUUCGGGUACGAUCCAUCGGUCAGCCUUUUAGGCUUGUACCUUUGGGGCGUACCUUACUUUCUGGGGAUCUAGUGUGCUCUUCACUGAGUGUGCUAGCUAUCCAGGACUUUUACUUUGAGAAAAUUAGAGUGUUUAAAGCAGGCAUUUGCUUGAAUACAUUAACAUGGAAUAAUAGAAUAGGACUUUGGUUCUAUUUUGUUGGUUUGGGAACCAAAGUAAUGGUUAAUAGGAAUAGUUGGGGGCACUAGUAUUCCAAAGUCAGAGGUGAAAUUCUUGGAUUUUUGGAAGACUAACAAAUGCGAAGGCAUGUGUCCAGGAUGUUUUCAUUG
rnacentral:rRNA from 1 species